GAUGAACGCUGACAGAAUGCUUAACACAUGCAAGUCUACUUGAACUUCGGUUUGGGUGGCGGACGGGUGAGUAACGCGUAAAGAACUUGCCUCACAGUUAGGGACAACAUUUGGAAACGAAUGCUAAUACCUGAUAUUAUGAUUUUAGGGCAUCCUAGGAUUAUGAAAGCUAUAUGUGCUGUGAGAGAGCUUUGCAUCCCAUUAGCUAGUUGGAGAGGUAACGGCUCACCAAGGCGAUGAUGGGUAGCCGGCCUGAGAGGGUGAACGGCCACAAGGGGACUGAGACACGGCCCUUACUCCUACGGGAGGCAGCAGUGGGGAAUAUUGGACAAUGGACCAAAAGUCUGAUCCAGCAAUUCUGUGUGCACGAUGACGUUUUUCGGAAUGUAAAGUGCUUUCAGUUGGGAAGAAAAAAAUGACGGCACCAACAGAAGAAGUGACGGCUAAAUACGUG
rnacentral:rRNA from 1 species